rnacentral:rRNA from 1 species
AACAUAACGACCUCGAUAUGUUCGAUUUCGCCGGGACAAGUGUUGCUAUGGCUAACGGCCAGGACAUUGUCAAAAAACGUGCUGAUUUUAUUACAGCAAGCAAUGAUGAAGAUGGCGUGGUGAAGGCACUUAAGCACUUCGCGAUUAUCUAACCGUCAGGAUGCCAUGAGAUUUCAAUAAGCAAAUGAAUGGUCGCUGCAACUGAGAUAUUGAAUCUUAGUGCAGCGGCUUUUUUCAUGUCUUUGUGAACCAUCAACGAGAUUGCUUUUGACUGGGUAAAAAUGUUCUACAAAAAAACGUGCGCGAUGCCACCUUUUUGAACAUGAUAGUUGCCACGAUCCCUGUUAGGCAGCGUCGUGGCCAAAGCUCAUCUGCAUAAAGUUAGCCGUCUCUAAAAAUAAAUUGUUCAAUAAUUAAUUGUCGUCUAUCAUUGACUAUAGAUUGGAACUAUUCUAAUAUAGAGAUAGAGCCGAUGACGAAAAGUCGCGGUUACUACAUAAUUAGGAGGAAUUUUUGUGGACAAGCCAAAGAUCAUUGUUGUAGGGGCAUCACACGGCGGUCACCAAAGCGUCUUAGAACUGUUGCAUCGUUAUCCAGAUGCAGACAUUACGAUGUUUGAAGCAGGUGAUUUUGUUUCGUUCAUGUCCUGCGGGAUGGAACUAUUCUUAGAAAAUCAAGUAACCGAUGUGAAUGAUGUUCGGAAUUUUCGUCCAGACGAUUUGAUCAAGCGCGGCGCACAUGUGUUAAACAACCAUGAAGUGACGGCAAUCAAUGCUGAUGUGAAAUCCGUCACCGUUCGCGACACGAAGAACGGCACGACGCAGGAUUAUCCUUAUGACAAAUUAAUUCUGAGUUCAGGCGUUCGCCCGAAUUCCUUACCAGUACCAGGUAACGAUUUGAAGAAUGUCUUCUUGAUGCGUGGCUACGAUUGGGCCACCAACAUCAAGGCCAAGUUAGAAGAUCCGGCGGUUAAGCACGUCACCAUCAUCGGUGCCGGUUAUAUCGGGAUUGAAGCGGCUGAAGCCAGUCGUAAAGCUGGUAAACAAGUAACGUUGUUGGAUAUGAUUGAUCGCCCACUGGGUACCUAUCUGGAUCCAGAAAUGACCGACAUUCUGGCCAAGGAACUCACUGAUAAAGGUGUUGAGCUCAAGCUUGGUGUCAAGAUCGAAGCCUUCACAGGCGAUGAAGCUGUUAGCGCCGUCAAAACGGAUGCCGGUGACGUUAAAACCGAUCUCGUGAUUCAAGCAGCGGGUAUCAAGCCAGCAACGGAAUGGCUCAAGGGCACCGUUAACCUUGAUAAACGCGGCUUCAUCAACACCGAUCCUUAUCUGCGGACCAAUUUGCCAGACGUUUAUGCUAUCGGUGAUGCCACUUUGGUUUACUCAAUCCCAGCACAACAAAAGGUACCGAUUGCCUUGGCAACCGUUGCGCGGCGUGAAGCCCGUUACCUUGCCGAAAACAUUUUUGCAGAAAAUCCAGCACGGCCAUUCAAGGGCGUCGUUGGUUCCAGUGCGUUGAGCGUUUUCGACUACCAUUUUGCAGCUAGCGGCCUGAACACCUUCACAGCUAAACGGGCUGACGUUAACGUGCAUACCGCUUUCUACACCGAUUCACUGCGGCCAGACUAUGUGCCAGAAGCUAACGGCAAUCCACAAGUUUGCGUCAACUUAGUCUUUGACCCGCAAACUCAUCGACUGUUAGGCGGUGCAGUAUUGUCCACUUACGACGUGACUGCACAAGGCAACGUCUUGGCACUCGCCGUUCAACAACAAUUAAGCCUUGAAGACUUGGCUGAAGCCGACUUCUUCUUCCAGCCAGGUUUUGAUCGUCAAUGGAACUUGCUGAACUUGGCUGCGCAACACGCUUUAGGCGAACCGCGAUUCUAAUUACUUUUAAAAAGACAUUAGGCAAAUGAUGUCUUCAUUUCAAUCAGCCAGAUAAACGAUUAAGCUUCCCAAAAAGACCAAGAGCGGAAAUCAAUGAGAUUGCGCAUUCUUGGUCUUUUUAACUUUGUAAGGAGAUUUACUUAUAAGCCACAAACAAGUUUAUGCUAGACGUUUUGAAAGUUGUUGCCUUCUAAAUUUAUUUUUUAAAGGACACCACACAUGACCAAUUGAGCUAAUAUUGCAAACAUGCUAUAAUUAAUAUAGCAAGCAAGUUAAUUCUGGGGGAUGAGAUGUAUAAAAUUGACUUCUAUGAGGAUCGCGAUGGCUACUCUGAGAUCGAAGACUUUCUUGAUCAGUUACGCCAUAGUCAUCAAAAAAAUAAUGUGAGCCUUUUAAACAAAAUCACAAAGGAACUCUACAUGCUGCAAAAUCUUGGUCCGCGCUUACGUGAACCUCACGCGAAGUUUCUGAAGGGAUAUGCUUAUCCGAUCAUGGAAUUGCGUCCCAUGCAAGAAAGAAUCUUUUAUGCUGCAUGGCAAAAGGAUCAUUUCGUUUUGCUUCAUCACUACACCAAGAAAACAAACAAAACUGAUCACAGAGAAAUUUUACGGGCACAGUCUAACCUCGAA